rnacentral:rRNA from 1 species
GACGAACGCUGGCGGCGUGCUUAACACAUGCAAGUCGAACGAUGAUGCUGGAGCUUGCUCCAGUUGAUUAGUGGCGAACGGGUGAGUAACACGUGAGCAAUCUGCCCUUGACUCUGGGAUAACUGCGGGAAACUGUAGCUAAUACCGGAUACUUUCACCGGAAGGCAUCUUCUGGUGAUGAAAGAAUUUCGGUCAGGGAUGAGCUCGCGGCCUAUCAGCUUGUUGGUGAGGUAACGGCUCACCAAGGCGACGACGGGUAGCCGGCCUGAGAGGGUGACCGGCCACACUGGGACUGAGAUACGGCCCAGACUCCUACGGGAGGCAGCAGUGGGGAAUAUUGCACAAUGGGCGCAAGCCUGAUGCAGCGACGCCGCGUGAGGGAUGACGGCCUUCGGGUUGUAAACCUCUUUCAGCAUCGACGAAGCGAAAGUGACGGUAGGUGCAGAAGAAGGACCGGCCAACUACGUGCCAGCCGCCGCAGUAA